GCCCUGGAAUUCGACACGAAGAUGUUGUACAAGUGCACUGUGACGUUGGUUAUGAGCUGCAGAAUCAGUCGGCAAGCAGCCGGUUGACGUGCAUGGCGGACCGGCAGUGGAGCGCUGAUGUUCCCGACUGUGUCGCUGUAAAGUGCCCUUCGCCUUUCCCUCUGACCCACACUCCACCACUACCAACUACAGCAACGAACUCAUCCCACAGAAUGCAAAAUACCAGCAGCAGCAGCACUAUUGCUGAAAUUUACCGCUACGGGUUGCUGGUCACGUUUGACUGCGCUGUCGGCUACUAUCGUGUGGGCGCUGCCAAUGCGUCGUGCACGGAGCAUCGCAACUGGAGCAGCCCUCUGCCCGUGUGUCAAGCUGUGACAUGUAAUACGUCAGUGCUAAAGACUGUGCCCAACGCAGGAUACACGCUGGGCGGUUUGACAGAAGUGCCGUUCGAUCAGUCACUCCUAUGGACGUGUGACGUGGGGUAUGAACAGACAGGUGGUAACCUCUCUCAGCUGUGCGAUCACAGUUUGAAUGAACGCGGAUAC